rnacentral:rRNA from 1 species
AGAGCGAACGCUGGCGGCAGGCCUAACACAUGCAAGUCGAGCGCCCGUAGCAAUACGGGAGCGGCAGACGGGAUAGUAACACGUGGGAACGCGCCCUUCGGUUCGGAAUAACUCAGGGAAACUUGAGCUAAUACCGGAUACGCCCUUACGGGGAAAGAUUUAUUGCCGAAGGAACGGCCCGCGUCCGAUUAGCUAGUUGGUGAGGUAAUGGCUCACCAAGGCGACGAUCGGUAGCUGGUCUGAGAGGAUGACCAGCAUCACUGGGACUGAGACACGGCCCAGACUCCUACGGGAGGCAGCAGUGGGGAAUAUUGGACAAUGGGCGCAAGCCUGAUCCAGCCAUGCCGCGUGGAUGAUGAAGGCCUUAGGGUUGUAAAGUCCUUUUAACGGGGAAGAUAAUGACGGUACCGUAGAAUAAGCCCGGCUAACUCGUGCCAGCAGCCGC